rnacentral:sRNA from 1 species
AUCAUUGGGUUAGAUCUGCUCUCUUCGCAAGAAGAGGGUUUCCAUACACACCGUGAACUGUGGCUUCGGCCAUCACAAACUGUUAGUAAUGAAUGUAAUAUCAUAACAAAAACAAAACUUUUAACAACGGAUCUCUUGGCUCUCGCAUCGAUGAAGAACGCAGCGAAAUGCGAUAAGUAAUGUGAAUUGCAGAAUUCAGUGAAUCAUCGAAUCUUUGAACGCACCUUGCGCCCUUUGGUAUUCCGAAGGGCAUGCCUGUUUGAGUGUCAUGAAACCUCACCCCACUUGGGUUUUUGCCUGAGCGGUGGUGUAUUGGGUGUUGCCUUGCUAAAGGCUCGCCUUAAAGACAUAAGCACCUUGGAUGUAAUACGUUUCAUCCUUCUGGGUGGCUGAUAACCCCACAUAUUCAUGAUCUGGCCUCAAAUCAGGUAGGGCUACCCGCUGAACUUAAGCAUAU